rnacentral:misc_RNA from 1 species
UUCGUUUUUUAAGAUCUUAACUCAAUUUGUUAUUCUUUUUUCAAAGUUAUGUUAGCGUCAUUGUAAGAUGAUACUAAAAUAUUAGAAAUCAGUAGGAUAUAUCAUGUCUAAUACAGUAAGUGGUACAGUAAAAUGGUUUAACGAAACUAAAGGUUUCGGUUUCAUUCAACAAGAUAAUGGUCCAGAUGUGUUUGCUCACUUCAAAGAAAUUUCUGGCUCAGGUUUCAAAACUUUGCACGAAGGUCAACGUGUAACGUUUACUGUUACUCAAGGGCAAAAAGGCCCAAAUGCUGUAAAUAUUAUUCCACAAUAAUAUUUCAGUAAGAAAAAAAAGCACUAUUUAGUGCUUUUUUUUAU